rnacentral:rRNA from 1 species
GACGAACGCUGGCGGCGUGCUUAACACAUGCAAGUCGAACGGAAAGGCCCCUUUGGGGGUACUCGAGUGGCGAACGGGUGAGUAACACGUGAGUAACCUGCCCUUGACUUCGGGAUAACUUCAGGAAACUGGGGCUAAUACCGGAUAGGAAUCCUUGCUGCAUGGUGGGGGUUGGAAAGCUUCGGCGGUUUUGGAUGGACUCGCGGCUUAUCAGCUUGUUGGUGGGGUAGUGGCUUACCAAGGCUUUGACGGGUAGCCGGCCUGAGAGGGCAACCGGCCACAUUGGGACUGAGAUACGGCCCAGACUCCUACGGGAGGAAGCAGUGGGGAAUAUUGCACAAUGGGCGGAAGCCUGAUGCAGCAACGCCGCGUGCGGGAUGACGGCCUUCGGGUUGUAAACCGCUUUCAGCAGGGGCGAAGCUUGUGGUGACGGUACCUGCAGAAGAAGCACCGGCUAACUACGUG